CACCUUCUCGCAGAGGCUCUUGACCUGGGACUCGGACAGCUGCUUGCACUCGUUCAGCUGCUCGAUCCA
rnacentral:miRNA from 1 species